rnacentral:rRNA from 1 species
GACAGAGGUGCCAAGCGUUAGGCGGAAUCACUGGGCUUAAAGCGUGUGUAGGCGGGCGAUCAAGUACCUUGUGAAAUCCCACGGCUCAACCGUGGAACUGCUGGGUAUACUGGUUGUCUUGAGCCAGCUAGGGGCGAGCGGAACAGACGGUGGAGCGGUGAAAUGCGUAGAGAUCGGAAGGAACAUCAGUGGCGAAGGCGACCACCUGGACUGUCACAGACGCUGAGGCGCGAAAGCGUGGGGAGCAAACAGG